UGGGGAAUAUUGCACAAUGGGGGAAACCCUGAUGCAGCGACGCCGCGUGAAGGAUGAAGUAUUUCGGUAUGUAAACUUCUAUCAGCAGGGAAGAAAAUGACGGUACCUGACUAAGAAGCCCCGGCUAACUACGUGCCAGCAGCCGCGGUAAUACGUAGGGGGCAAGCGUUAUCCGGAUUUACUGGGUGUAAAGGGAGCGUAGACGGUCUUGUAAGUCUGAUGUGAAAACCCGGGGCUCAACCCCGGGACUGCAUUGGAAACUAUAGGACUAGAGUGUCGGAGAGGCAAGUGGAAUUCCUAGUGUAGCGGUGAAAUGCGUAGAUAUUAGGAGGAACACCAGUGGCGAAGGCGGCUUGCUGGACGAUGACUGACGUUGAGGCUCGAAAGCGUGGGGAGCAAACAGGAUUAGAUACCCUGGUAGU
rnacentral:rRNA from 1 species